rnacentral:rRNA from 1 species
UACAGAGACUGCAAGCGUUAUUCGGAUUCACUGGGCGUAAAGGGUGCGCAGGCGGUUACGUGUGUUAGGUGUGAAAUCCCGAAGCUCAACUUCGGAACUGCGCCUAAAACUACGUGACUAGAGCAUUGGAGAGGGUAGCGGAAGUUCACGGUGUAGCAGUGAAAUGCGUAGAGAUCGUAAGGAAGACCAGUGGCGAAGGCGGGUCUCUGGGCCGUAACUGACGCGUGGAGGAGCGAAAGCAUGGGGAGCGAACAGG